GAUGAAGAACGUAGCGAAAUGCGAUAAGUAAUGUGAAUUGCAGAAUUCAGUGAAUCAUCGAAUCUUUGAACGCACAUUGCGCCCCCUGGUAUGCCGGGGGGCAUGCCUGUUCGAGCGUCAUUUCACCACUCAAGCCUCGCUUGGUAUUGGGCAACGCGGUCCGCCGCGUGCCUCAAAUCGACCGGCUGGGUCUUCUGUCCCCUAAGCGUUGUGGAAACUUUCGCUAAAGGGUGUUCGGGAGGCUACGCCGUAAAACAACCCCAUUUCUAAGGUUGACCUCGGAUCAGGUAGGGAUACCCGCUGAACUUAAGCAUAUCAAUAAGCGGAGGA
rnacentral:misc_RNA from 1 species